UAAGACAAUUUUCUUGUUUUUUUCUUCUCUUUUUCUCUAUAAUACCAUAGCUUCAGCAAAACUGGAUCAGUCAAUCUUCAAUAUUAAAAAGGGCAGGCCCGCUGCCGGAGGCUCCCACAUGAGUGGGGUCUAUGAAGCAGUCAUAAUGCACAGAGAGAUGCAAUAGUAACUCUUAAACAAAAAUGUUAUGUAGAACAAUGAUAUAUUAUAUAUACCAUCUGCGUUUGGGAAUAAUGGAAUAGCCUGUGGAACCUCCUCAUCAGAUUCAUCAUCUGAAAUAUCAAUCGCCAUAUUGCUUAUGCCAAGUGAUAAAAAACAUUAGGGAUGUUCAAUACUGAAAGAAGAGGAUCAUUACCUUCUUUGGUACUUGUGACACUGUCAUAUGUGAUAAAAAGACAGAAGCGGUUAAGGAAAAGAAAUUUGUGUUCCAGCUUCUCUAAAAAUAUUGAACAAAGUAAAAUGAAAGGUUAUUUUCUCUUGCAAUGCCAAAAUUUCUAGCCAAGGGCAGAGAUGGUGCUGGUUUUUGAGGUGACAUCCAGGGCAAGAGUAGGUUCCACUUUCAAGCUUUUUGGCCUAAAUUGGAGGGUUUCCAGGAUGUGGUGGCUACUUGGCCCUCGAUUUCUGAUGGUCAGUGCCCUCUAGCUACCCUAUCUUGAAAAUAAGGGUUGUUGCUCGUGGGUUGCAGAGUUGGAGUGAUAAAAAGGUGGGGCAUGUGAAAAAUCAACUUGAUUUAGCUAAAGAGCUCUUGCAUCAACUUGAAAUAGCCCAAGGUUGUUGAAGAAACACAGUCUUGCUUUGGCAUCCUUCUGAAAUCUCGCAUUGGAUGGCUAAAAGAUGGGGAUGCCAACACCUGUUUGUUCCAUUCUUAUGGUAGGUACCGAAAAAGGAAGAAUUUUAUACCCACUUACCUAGUAUCACUACUAUAGAUGAUAGAGUGCUGACUGUGCAUGAGGAUAAAGCAACAGAAUUUCUCAACUUCUAUAACGGGUUGCUGGUUACAGUGGAGCUUAGAGACACUACCAUUGACCUUGAUGCGCUGAGGAUUCCUUUCUCAUGAUUUGUCUGCUCUUGAAGUACCCAUUUCGGAGGUGGAGGUGUGGAACACCAUCGAGCACCUUCUUUCGGAAAGGCCCCGGGGCUGGAUGGCUUCACUGGGUGCUUCUAUAAAUUUUACUGGCCGAUUAUUAAGGGGAGUGUCAUGGCUGCUAUCUCUUGUGUGUGGGCUCAGAAAUUCAGGAAUAUGGAGCUUUUGAAUUCAGCCUUCAUCUCGCUGUUGCCUAAAAAGGUUGAUGCCCAACAUGUUUAGGACUUUCAACCUAUUAGCCUUGUGCAUAGCUUUGCUAAGCUCAUUACAAAAAAUUUGGCCAAUAGGUUGGCCGGUAAGCUGCAAAUGAUGGUCUCUCCUAAUCAAACAGCCUUUACCAAGAAGAGAUUUAUUUAGGAUAACUUUAUGUUAGUGCAACAAACGACCAGAUUUCUUAACGAUCAGAAACAACCUAGAAUCCUUUUUAAACUUCACAUUUCAAAGGCUUUUGAUUCAGUCUCUUGGGCUUUCCUUCUUGAGGUCCUGAGGAAACUUGGUUUUGGUGUCAUUUGGUGUGACUUGAUUAGUGGGCUUUUCGCUUCUUCAUCGACAAGAAUUAUUUAGAAUGGUGUGCCUGGUGACUACAUUGCCCAUCGACGAGGAUUAAUGCAGGGUGAUCCCCUAUCCCCUAUGCUUUUCAUCCUCGUCAUGGAUGUUCUUUCUCACCUUCUACGGCGUGCUUUUGAGGAUGGCCUUCUACAACUUUCUUCGCUUACAACACCGUAUGUCUCUUUAUGCCGAUGAUGCAGUGGUCUUCUUAAAACCUAUCCUAUCGGACAUCAUUUUGACUGUGAACCUCCUGACACUGUUUGGCAAUGCUUCGGGAUUGAAGACUAAUGUGGAAAAAAGUAGUGUUUUUCCUAUUCGUUGUACUAAUGAGGAGGUCGAAGUCAUCUAGGAGCUGCUGCCCUGUGGGGUUUCAGAAUUCCCUUGCAAAGCCUCCCAUUGUCUCUCAAGAAGCUUAAUACAGAUCAAUUACAAGCCAUCAUCGAUCGUACUGUGGAUAUGUGGCCAGGAUGGAAGGCGGAGCUUAUGUCUAGGGCUGGUUGUGCCACUUAUGUCUAGUGUGUGCUAACAACUAAAGUUAUUUACCCAGCUAUGGCUUUGGAUCUACUUGGUUGGGUUCUUAAAGCUAUCGAUAAGCUGCGUAAAGGUCUUUUGUGGAAAGGAAGAAAAGAAGUAAAAGGUGGCUACUAUCUGCUAUCUUGGCCUAAGGUCACUAGGCCAAAGGAGUUGGGUGGCUUGAGUAUUCAUGAUCUGCAAAAGCUUGGGUGGGCUCUUCGGGUCAGAUGGCUAUGGUUGCAAAUGACGGAGCCCCCUAGACCUUGGUCUGAAUUUCAAGUUCAGAUUUGUGAUAUUGUCAAAAAACUUGUUUCAGUGGCUGUGAUUUCGCAAGUGGGCAAACACAAUGAUACUCUUUUUUGGGCUGACAAUUGGUUACAUGGAAGGAGUGUAAAAGGCUAAAAGCUCUUGCUCCGAUUGUUUUUGCUUUAGUCUCCAAGCGUAUUGCUAUCAAGAGGCUGGUUAGUGAUCAUAUGUGGGUCAGUGACAUUCGAGGUGCCCUUACGGCCAGAGUUAUUUGGGAGUUCGUGGAGCUGUUUCAGAUAGUUGAUGAUGUUAUUCUCCAACCUGAGAUUCCUGACGCUCAUAUUUGGAGUCUUUCCCUUCUGGACAGUUCUCCACUAAAUCUGCCUAUGAUGCUUUAUGCUUCGUUUGGAUGUCGAUAUUGAAGGGCAUGGAAUUGAAUUGAGUUCAAUACCUAAUCAGUCAUGGUAUUGAAAUAAUAUGUGAUUCCAAUUCUAUUAUUUCGAUGUCGCUGGAUUGGGGUUUGGAAUUGUGCGGUCUAAUUCCAUGCAAUACAGAGGGGUGACGUUCGGUAUUGGGAGGAGUUUCUAGUUAUAGUCCAAUUCCAGGGAAUUGAGUCUCUGGUUCCAAAUCUCAAUUUUGUGUGCAACCAAACGACAUAAUUUAGGAAAGGUGAUUCCAAUUCUCAAUUCUAUGCUCUAAUAUCGACAUCCAAACGAGCUAUUAUAUUUUUUUGGUUUAACCUCUUUUGAUUCUUCUGAUAGAAUACGGAAGACAUGGGCUCCGACAAAUGUAGAUUCUUCAUAUGGUUGGUUGAACAUGACUGAUGUUGGACUGCUGACCAAUCUUGCUAGGCGCGAGUUGCCUCACUCCGAGCGAUGCCCCUUGUAUGAUCAGGAAGAGGAAUCCAUCGAACACCUGUUGGCUUCUUGCAUCUUUGCCCGACAAUUUUGGUUUCAACUGCUUCGGUCAAUUGGGCUUCAGUCCCUUGCCCGUGGGCAUGGGGAACGUUUUGAAAACUGGUGGAGGACUCGAAGUUCUCAACUUGUAGGGUUGCAUCAAAAGGGCUUCAAUUCCUUAGUUAUUCUAGGGGCUUGGGUUAUUUGGAAACAUAGAAAUAGAUGCGUGUUUGAUGGGGCUGGCCAAAUGUGGCAGCGACGCUCCUAGCUGCUAAAGAGGAGGUCUUAGGAUGGUGUUUAGCAGGAGCUAAGGGGCUGACCUUUCUCCAGGUUUUUGACCCUGUCCCGGAUUGAUAAAUAGCUCUCAGGCAGAGAAUAUGUGACCUUGCUCCUAGGCUUUUUCAAUGUAUACCCAGGAUGAUUUCAAAAAGAAGAAUUGUUCGGGAGGCUCUUCUGAAUAGAAAUGGGUCUCCGACAUGAAAGGUGCUCUCUCUAGGAGUUUUGGUGGAUUAUCUACAACCUUGGAACCUUCUUUUUGAGGUAGUGUUGCAGGCUACUAUUGAAGACAGACAUGUUUUCAGUAUUUCCUCAGAUGGUAACUAUUCAGCUAAAGUGGCAUACGAAGGGCUCUUCAUGGGAUGAGUCUAUUUCAGCCACUAUCCCAGGGUGUGGAAAACCUGGGCCCUGCCUAAAUGCAGAUUUUUUCUUUGGCUCACUGCGCAUAACAGGUGGUGGACUGCUGACAGGUUGGCCAAAAGAGGGCUUGAUCACCCACCAAAAUGCCCCUUAUGUGACCAAGAGGAUGAAACCUUAGACCAUCUCUUGGUCGCCUGUGUUUUCUGAAGAGAUUUCUGGUUUCAGCUCCUGAGGACUUUCGACCUUCAAGUGCUAGCCCCUCAGCCUGGUUUGUCUUCCUUCAUGAGCUGGUGGGAAGAAGCUUCUUAUUCGGUCAGGGGUCUUGUUAGAAAAGAGCUCAAUUCUCUUAUUGCAUUCGGGACCUGGAUUAUUUGGAAUCUUCGCAACAAAUGCAUCUUUGAUAAUUGGAACCCUAAUGUGUCUUUAGCCAUUAGGAUGGCUACAGAGGAAAGAUGGAUGUGGGAAAUGGCCAGGGCUAAAGGCCUUUCCUACCUAUGUGCCCCUCUCCUUGAGGCUUAGUCUUAGAGGGGGUUUUAGGCUAGUAGUUGGGUGCUGUCCUCUUAUGGAUUCUUUUGGGUUUCUGGUUUUUAGACCUCUGUAAGGAAGUCUAAAUUUUUGUUGUACCUGGUCUUGUUAGACCUUUUUAUCUCCUUAAUAUAAUGGGGCGCAGUUCUCCUGCGGUUUUCGAGAAAAAAGGUAGUGGGUGAGUUCAGUUUGUUGGCUUUUGUACUGUUCCUUUGAGGGUUCUUUUCCCCUCGUUUUUUCUCUUCUUAAUAUAAUGAUACACAACUCUCCUGCGUGUUUUAGAAAAAAAGGUGUUUAGUAACUCAAACUCCUCGAAUAACAAACUAGUUUUACAUUGAGGUCCCGUUUGUUUCUUUUCGUUUUGAGGAAUUGAAAUCUUACUAUUGUAAUAGGCUAUUUUUUUAGAAUGCGACAUUCCACCACUUUCCAAAGUUAUCAUAUAAGCCUAUCUCAAAUUCAUGGGGUGAGAAAUGAAAAUUGAUUCUAUAGAUUUACAUGUUAUUUUUUCGAUGUACAACUUAUAGCACACUCUUCUACUUGCUUAGUUAUAACAUGAAUGUAGUAUAUAACUAUCUCUCUCAUAUGGUUUAAGAUAAUAUAUAAAUAUAUUACAUAUAUAAAUAUAUGAACUUAAUUAAUUUUGUCUAAAUUAUAAUUAUUAAAAUAGAAUUCAAUUCCAACGAAACAAACGGGGCCUGAGGGUAUUUGUCAACUGAUAGUGUUCCAAUCGGAAACUCUUUGCCACCAACCUUCACAAAAACUCUCACAUCCUCAUUCCCCUUAUUAUCCUGUAAUGCUAUCUUAAAAGACAAAUAAUUGAAAAGUAAAAAAAAAGGAACUCCACAAAAAUAAUGUAAACCAAUAGUGAUCAUUACUAGUAGUAGGUCACACUUCACUGUGGCUCCAGUUCUGCCUACAACUCCUGGAAAUGUUAGCAUGCCUUUUGGUCUCUACUCCUUUAAAAGGAGAGUUUCGUGCGUCGUUAGACUUUUCAUGCGUCGUACCACAUGCUACCCUCCCCCCUGCUCGCUAUGGCGAGACGGCCGUUCCCGCCCCCACCUCUAAGAUUGUCGUCGUCCUUUACCGCCGCGUCCCUUUCCUCCCAUGGAGUACGCACCCUCCUCGCUCGCUUUCGUCGUCCACCGCCUGUCCGUCUCGCAUCUCCCACAGAAACCAUCUCGCCUAGGCAGCGAGGCCCGCGUCACCAUCGUCGACGUCAGGGACGAGGAGAGGGGUUACGACAGCCACAUCGUGGGGUUCCACCACUACGCCAACGACACCUAUGCGGAGCGGAUGCCUGAGCUCGCCUAGGCAACUGAGGCCAAGGAAACCCUCGACUUCCACUGCGCACUCAGCAAGGUGAAGGCCUCCUUCCCGCGUCCCUAUUUCUUUGUCAGUUCCAAGUUAGGUCCUAGGGAGGGGAUGUCCCUGUGCUCCUUCAUCUCAGAAUGUUCAGUGCCACGAGUUUGUUAGAGUGGAACAAGCUGCUGAUGCUGAAACAAUUUAGCUCUUCUAUGGAAGCGUGGAAAGUUUGAUGAAUCACAACAAUAUGUAUUUUGGUUCUUUAUUGGAUUCAUCAUACAUACAGUUUAGCAAGUAUCUAACUUACUGUUGAUACAGGCUGCCAGAUGGACCUCUUAUGGAUAUUGGCGAAAGGGCCUCUAGCGUAAUGGUUAAGGCUUCCGAGUAGCACCUCCAGGUCCUGGGUUCGAUCCCCCUCGGGGGCGAAUUUCUGGCUUGGUUAAAAAAAUCCCCUCGCUGUGCCCCGUCCGCUCCCGGGUUACGUCCUGCGCGCCACCCUCCGGCUGGGCCGUUGCAGAGUGGGCGGUGACGGCCCGCUAGUGAUGGGGGGCCAGGGUUCGGGGAUUUUCUCAGCCGGGACCAUGUUUCGGUUUCUUCUUAAUAUAAUACCGGGAGGGCGGUCUUUCCCUCCCCGGCUGAGUUUUUUUUCUCUUAUGGAUAUUGUUUUAAGUCUACCCACUUGAUGCUGUCUACGAUUUCCCUGAAGAUGUCAAAUCGAACAAAAGAUGUGCAGGUGCAUCAAACUGGACAGUAAAGGACAUUGUUGAAUCAGUGAGGAAUGAAUUUGGUAGCAUUGACAUAUUAGUGCAUUCUCUUGCCAAUGGCCCAGAGGAUCUUCUGUUUUUGGCUUGUAGUCAUCUAGAUAACAGAACUACAAUGACUAGAGUGUCCAGAAUGGAUUUUGGAGAUUUUGAUAUCUAACCAUGAGGAUGUGGAGGCAACAAUUCAUUGUGUGGAGUGACUCUCAAUGGUUGGACGAUCUUGCACUGGAGGCCAAAGGAUCAGGUGGUCCCUUCACUCUUAAAAAGCUGUAGGUUAGCUAGAUAUCGUGGUGAACUUCGGGCUACAUCUUCAAAGGCUGCUACUGAUGAAGUGGUGCUUGCAAAAACAACUCAACAAACUGCAGACCAAGAAGUGGGUGCUACAAUUUCAGCAACCCGUAUAACAACACAAUAUCAGCAGGAACAGCUGACUGUCAGCCAUGAAACGCUGACUACACUUUCAGCAGGAACUCCACCACGCAUGAAAGGAUGGCUAGUUAAAAAAUCACCCCCAAGAAGAAGAAAGUGUGAAGUAUUUGUGUUUUGUGUGUGAACUGAAAUCUGGGAACUAUGUAUCUGUGGUUUGUCUGUGUACUGAAAUCUGGGAACUGAAACUAUGUAUGUGUGGUUUCUGUGUGUGAACUGGAACUGAGUCACAGAACUAUGUAUCUGUGAUAUGUGUGAACUGCAA